CAGGAGAUAAUUUAUUUUAAAAUUUUAAUUUUGGAGAUUAAAUAAAUGUAUAUAAUUUACAUUCUUUUGA
rnacentral:tRNA from 1 species